rnacentral:rRNA from 1 species
AAUGAACGCUGGCGGCAGGCUUAACACAUGCAAGUCGAGCGAGCGGCGGACGGGUGAGUAAUGUCUGGGAAACUGCCUGAUGGAGGGGGAUAACUACUGGAAACGGUAGCUAAUACCGCAUACCAUCAGAUGUGCCCAGAUGGGAUUAGCUAGUAGGUGGGGUAAUGGCUCACCUAGGCGACGAUCCAUAGCUGGUCUGAGAGGAUGACAAGCAACACUGGAACGUAGACCCGGUCCAGACGCCUACGUGAGGCAGCAGUGGGGAAUAUUGCACAAUGGGCGCAAGCCUGAUGCAGCCAUGCCGCGUGUGUGAAGAAGGCCUUCGGGUUGUAAAGCACUGUCAGCGAGGAGGCGUGACUCGCAGAAGAAGCACCGGCUAACUCCGUGCCAGCAGCCGCGGUAAUUC